rnacentral:lncRNA from 1 species
ACUAAUGAUCCAGGGACUAAUUAUGUUUCUAAAUUUAUCAGAACCAACAUCUGUGUUGUCUAGGAUGACCAGGUCAUUUCAGGUGAUGACCUUGUACUGAAUCUAGGAUAAUGACAUAAAAAUCACUUGUUUAAGUAUCAUACCUCAAUUUCCUUCCCAAAAAUCACUUCUUUAAGUAUCAUUAUUUUAAUAACCCCCACUAAUUUCAACACCCCCAAACAGUGAAAUUUUUAUCGCGAACAGUAGAAUUUUAUUACAUAAUCUGAAAGAUGAAACCUUGAACUUUACAGGAAAAAUACUCCCACUGCUGGGAAAAAUCUGUUAAGAAAGUAUCAGUUCAUUAUGUAAAGCCAUUAUUAUAGCAUUUUUUCAACUAAAAUAGAAUUUGCAGCUAAAUGAUAGCAUCAAAGGCAUAAACCUUGAUACUUAAAAGAAGCA